UACGUAGGGUGCAAGCGUUGUCCGGAAUUAUUGGGCGUAAAGAGCUCGUAGGCGGUUCGUCGCGUCGGCUGUGAAAACCUGAGGCUCAACCUCAGGCCUGCAGUCGAUACGGGCGGACUUGAGUACUGCAGGGGAGACUGGAAUUCCUGGUGUAGUGGUGAAAUGCGUAGAGAUCCGGAGGAACCCCAGAGGCGAAGGCGGCGCCCUGGCUCGCAACUGACGCUCAGACACGACAGCAUGGGGAGCGAACGGG
rnacentral:rRNA from 1 species